rnacentral:rRNA from 1 species
UGGGGAAUAUUGGACAAUGGGCGCAAGCCUGAUCCAGCCAUGCCGCGUGAGUGAUGAAGGCCUUAGGGUUGUAAAGCUCUUUCGCCGGUGAAGAUAAUGACGGUAACCGGAGAAGAAGCCCCGGCUAACUUCGUGCCAGCAGCCGCGGUAAUACGAAGGGGGCUAGCGUUGCUCGGAAUCACUGGGCGUAAAGCGCACGUAGGCGGAUCGUUAAGUCAGGGGUGAAAUCCUGGGGCUCAACCUCAGAACUGCCCUUGAUACUGGCGAUCUCGAGUUCGAGAGAGGUUGGUGGAACUCCGAGUGUAGAGGUGAAAUUCGUAGAUAUUCGGAAGAACACUAGUGGCGAAGGCGGCCAACUGGCUCGAUACUGACGCUGAGGUGCGAAAGCGUGGGGAGCAAAACAGGAUUAGAUACCCUGGUAGUCCACGCCGUAAAACGAUGGAUGCUAGCCGUUGGGGAGCUUGCUCUUCAGUGGCGCAGCUAACGCCUUAAGCAU